AAGGAUCAUUAAAGAAAGGACUGGGGUUAUAGUGUCCGCCACUGGUACCCUCUCUCCGAAACUCCAACCCUUGACUACUAUACCUUCGUUGCCUCGGUGGGUUUGCCUGCCGGUGGAUGCAACUAAACUACCGUUUAACUGCGUGGUCUGAGCAAUUGUAGCAAUAGUUAAAACUUUCAACAACGGAUCUCUUGGUUCUGGCAUCGAUGAAGAACGCAGCGAAAUGCGAUAAGUAGUGUGAAUUGCAGAAUUCAGUGAAUCAUCGAAUCUUUGAACGCACAUUGCGCCCUUUGGCAUCCCGAAGGGCAUGCCUGUUCGAGCGUCAUUUCACCAAUCAAGCCUGGCUUGGUAUUGGGAUCCGCCUACCUCUAAAGGCAGGCGUUCCCUAAAAACAUCGGCGGUAUGGUGCCGGCUUUGAGCGUAGCAGAAACCUCGCUCCAUGGGCUCGGUGCCGUAGUGGCCGCAAAAGACACCAAGGUUGACCUCGGAUCAGGUAGGGAUACCCGCUGAACUUAA
rnacentral:rRNA from 1 species